GCAAACUUGGUCAUUUAGAGGAAGUAAAAGUCGUAACAAGGUCUCCGUAGGUGAACCUGCGGAGGGAUCAUUAACAAAUCAAACACACAAACCUGUGUCAAUGUCUGUGCCGAGUGGGGGGUAGUUGCGCGCGCGCCUUGUGCGUGUGCGCACUACUUGAUGGGGAGAGGUGCGCCGUGUUGUGUUGUGUAUGUAUAUCAUCAUCACAUCUCACGGGGCACGCCUGCCGGCCAACAACUACAAACCAUGUCAGAGUUAUAUAUACAUAUAAUGUGUAAACAACUUUUAACAAUGGAUCUCUUGGCUCUUGCAUCGAUGAAGAACGCAGC
rnacentral:misc_RNA from 1 species